rnacentral:rRNA from 1 species
GAUGAACGCUAGCGGGAGGCCUAACACAUGCAAGCCGAGCGGUAGAGAUUCUUCGGAAUCUUGAGAGCGGCGUACGGGUGCGGAACACGUGUGCAACCUACCUUUAUCUGGAGGAUAGCCUUUCGAAAGGAAGAUUAAUACUCCAUAAUAUAUUGAUUGGCAUCAAUUGAUAUUGAAAGCUCCGGCGGAUAGAGAUGGGCACGCGCAAGAUUAGUUAGUUGGUGAGGUAACGGCUCACCAAGACGAUGAUCUUUAGGGGCCUGAGAGGGUGAUCCCCACACUGGUACCGAGACACGGACCAGACUCCUACGGGAGGCAGCAGUGAGGAAUAUUGGUCAAUGGGUGCAAGCCUGAACCAGCCAUCCCGCGUGAAGGACGACUGCCCUAUGGGUUGUAAACCCUCUUUUGUAUAGGGAUAAACCUACCUCGUGAGGGUAGCUGAAGGUACUAUACGAAUAAGCACCGGCUAACUCCGUGCCAGCAGCCG